rnacentral:rRNA from 1 species
UACGUAGGGGGCAAGCGUUGUCCGGAAUCAUUGGGCGUAAAGAGCGUGUAGGCGGCCCGGUAAGUCCGCUGUGAAAGUCAACGGCUCAACUGUUGGAUGCCGGUGGAUACUGUCGGGCUAGAGUACGGAAGAGGCAAGUGGAAUUCCUGGUGUAGCGGUGGAAUGCGCAGAUAUCAGGAGGAACACCUAUAGCGAAGGCAGCUUGCUGGGACGUUACUGACGCUAAGGCGCGAAAGCGUGGGAGCGAACGAGG